CGCUUCAAGAAGGUGUUCUCUGAGUAUGAAAGAAAGACUUACGAAAAGCUGAUCUCAGACAUCGAAGCACAGCCGAAUGAAGCUGUGCAAGCUGUGUUGAAAUCCUUUUUGCAUAAAAUCUACAGGAGGAGGAAGUAG
rnacentral:rRNA from 1 species